CCCCUGGUGGCUCAGACGGUAGAGCGUCUGCCUGCGAUGCCGGAGACCCGGGUUCGAUCCCUGGGUUGGGAA
rnacentral:tRNA from 1 species